UACGGAGGGUGCAAGCGUUAUCCGGAAUGAUUGGGCGUAAAGCGUCCGCAGGUGGCUGUGUAAGUCUGCUGUUAAAGAGUCUAGCUCAACUAGAUAAAGGCAGUGGAAACUACACGGCUAGAGUGCGUUCGGGGCAGAGGGAAUUCCUGGUGUAGCGGUGAAAUGCGUAGAGAUCAGGAAGAACACCGGUGGCGAAGGCGGAUCUCUGGGCCAUUACUGACGCUGAGGAGCGAAAGCGUGGGGAGUGAACAGG
rnacentral:rRNA from 1 species